rnacentral:rRNA from 1 species
UAGGGAGGCAGCAGUGGGGAAUAUUGCACAAUGGGCGCAAGCCUGAUGCAGCCAUGCCGCGUGUAUGAAGAAGGCCUUCGGGUUGUAAAGUACUUUCAGUCGUGAGGAAGGUGUUAAGGUUAAUAACCUUAGCAAUUGACGUUAGCGACAGAAGAAGCACCGGCUAACUCCGUGCCAGCAGCCGCGGUAAUACGGAGGGUGCGAGCGUUAAUCGGAAUUACUGGGCGUAAAGGGCACGCAGGCGGUUAAUUAAGUUGGAUGUGGAAUCCCCGGGCUUAACCUGGGAAUGGCAUUCAAGACUGGUUAGCUAGAGUCUUGUAGAGGGGGUAGAAUUCCAUGUGUAGCGGUGAAAUGCGUAGAGAUGUGGAGGAAUACCGGUGGCGAAGGCGGCCCCUGGACAAAGACUGACGCUCAUGUGCGAAAGCGUGGGGAGCAAAC